UUCUUUGGAGAGUUUGAUCCUGGCUCAGGACGAACGCUGGCGGCGUGCCUAAUACAUGCAAGUCGAGCGGACCGAACGAGGGCUUGCUCUUGUUUGGUCAGCGGCGGACGGGUGAGUAACACGUGGGCAACCUGCCCGCAAGACCGGGAUAACUCCGGGAAACCGGAGCUAAUACCGGAUAACACCGAAG
rnacentral:rRNA from 2 species